CAAAGAGGAAGCUCGACUAAGACCGUCACCUCCUGUGACAACGCCGAACUGACCUGCGUCCUGCAGG
rnacentral:sRNA from 1 species